GUUUGCUGUACUUCUACGUGAUUUGGUUGAGUGCUGAGCAGAUCUCAGAAGUUCGCAGUUCCACGUUGCAGGACUUGGUAUGAGGGCUGCACAUCACAGCCCUAACAACUGUUCAGAGGCAUUGAGGAUGGGGAACAUCAGUGAUUCCUAACUGUGCAUCACAGGAGUGGAAUAUCUUCCUGGUAACUAAGGCCACAAACCCCAUUUUUUUGAGUUCUUCUAUGUCAGAGGAUGACAAAAGGCUGGCUAAGGCAGUACCAACAGGA